UGGGGAAUAUUGCGCAAUGGGGGGAACCCUGACGCAGCCAUGCCGCGUGAAUGAAGAAGGCCUUAGGGUUGUAAAGUUCUUUCGGUAUUGAGGAAGGUUGAUGUGUUAAUAGCACAUCAAAUUGACGUUAAAUACAGAAGAAGCACCGGCUAACUCCGUGCCAGCAGCCGCGGUAAUACGGAGGGUGCGAGCGUUAAUCGGAAUAACUGGGCGUAAAGGGCACGCAGGCGGUUAUUUAAGUGAGGUGUGAAAGCCCCGGGCUUAACCUGGGAAUUGCAUUUCAGACUGGGUAACUAGAGUACUUUAGGGAGGGGUAGAAUUCCACGUGUAGCGGUGAAAUGCGUAGAGAUGUGGAGGAAUACCGAAGGCGAAGGCAGCCCCUUGGGAAUGUACUGACGCUCAUGUGCGAAAGCGNGGGGAGCAAACAGGAUUAGAUACCCUGGUAGUCCACGCUGUAAACGCUGUCGAUUUGGGGGUUGGGGUUUAACUCUGGCGCCCGUAGCUAACGUGAUAAAUCGACCGCCUGGGGAGUACGGCCGCNGNUA
rnacentral:rRNA from 1 species